rnacentral:rRNA from 1 species
UACGUAGGGUGCAAGCGUUGUCCGGAAUUAUUGGGCGUAAAGAGCUCGUAGGCGGUUUGUUGCGUCGGAUGUGAAAUCCCGAGGCUCAACCUCGGGUCUGCAGUCGAUACGAGCAAACUAGAGUGUUGCAGGGGAGACUGGAAUUCCUGGUGUAGCGGUGAAAUGCGCAGAUAUCAGGAGGAACACCGGUGGCGAAGGCGGUUCUCUGGGCAACAACUGACGCUGAGGAGCGAAAGCGUGGGGAGCGAACAGG